AUGCAAGUCGAGCGAACAGAUAAGGAGCUUGCUCCUUUGACGUUAGCGGCGGACGGGUGAGUAACACGUGGAUAACCUACCUAUAAGACUGGGAUAACUUCGGGAAACCGGAGCUAAUACCGGAUAACAUAUUGAACCGCAUGGUUCAAUAGUGAAAGGCGGCUUUGCUGUCACUUAUAGAUGGAUCCGCGCCGUAUUAGCUAGUUGGUAAGGUAACGGCUUACCAAGGCAACGAUACGUAGCCGACCUGAGAGGGUGAUCGGCCACACUGGAACUGAGACACGGUCCAGACUCCUACGGGAGGCAGCAGUAGGGAAUCUUCCGCAAUGGGCGAAAGCCUGACGGAGCAACGCCGCGUGAGUGAUGAAGGUCUUCGGAUCGUAAAACUCUGUUAUCAGGGAAGAACAAAUGGGG
rnacentral:rRNA from 1 species